ensembl:lncRNA
GAGAAAAUACAGAUAGGUUUAUUUAUGAUACACAUGAAAUAGGUUUAAGUACGUAAAGCUUACUUACAAAUGUAAGCAGAUUCUAUUUUGAAAUAAGACAUCAAGCAUUGCAUUAACCUCAACAGUAAACAUUUCCAUGCUGUAUCAGCUUAAAAUAAAAUCAAUCAAUGCGUCCCAUACAUUAACCUGGGUUUAAAAAUAUCCCAGUCAAUGGAGCUGGCUGUUAUUCCAAAUUUACUGGAACAUCUCCAUACGCCUUCACACACGGUUCACUUCCUCAUCUGUCUUGCAUGUAGCCAUAGGGGGUAAGACUUCAAAAUUAGUGGAAAAAAACCAUUAGCCAUGAGACUGGAUUGUAUGAGUGUUCAAUUUCAGCCUGUAAAACUGUGGCCUCGUUGUGCCUUUCACUGAAUUCAGUUUUAUUUCCAGAGACUGCAAUAAGAAGUAUUUGAAAAGAAAAACUGAUGAACAUAACACUGAGUUGAGGUAUUCACUUCCUAAUGGAAAAGUCAUUCAGAUGUCCUACUGGCUUCUCCCUAAAAUAAUGUUACAGAAUUAUUUCCUAUGUGGAGCAAACAAAGUAGCUAACAACUGGUUCCUUUUUUAAAUUCUUCAAAGGAAGUGGUGAAUCUGAGGACAAAGAUGCAAUAGGAGGUCAUAAUGUAUCUAACGUUUUAACAUUGCAGGAACUAUUAUGAAGUAGAAAACCUACACUGAUGUAGGAAAAGAUUGAACUUCUCACACUAAAGAGCAGUAACUUUAAAAGAUACUACUGUUUUUCCCUUGUUGCCAAAACAAGUUAUGCCAGAUAGGGCAGAGAGACUGCUAUGGAAGUUAAUGGCUAUUAAUCUCCAAGAACUACAGGAUAAACAAGUAACAACGGAUUAGAUUACAUACAAUAUAGUUUAAAUUACUCAUUUUCUAGGUGCUCCUCAAAAUUUGUAAGGGAAAAAACAUAAUUCAAGAACAAAAGCUAGAGAGCAAUAACAUGAAAUCAGAAACUUGGUGACAUUCUUUCAUAUAUACAUUUCCAGGGCUGACAAAGCUCUUUCUGGGAAAAUGACAGGGAAGUAUUUCCACUUUAAUUUCAGAACUUGGCAAAGUAUUCAUAUUUUAACAGGUAAUCCAGAACGCCUGAUGUUCUUUUCAGUCUUCUAAUCCUGUUGGUGUAACUACUUCACUGACACACACAACUUCAUACAUUAGCAACCUCAAUGAUGGAUCAGGGUCUGCGACAGUUGGCUGCCAACUAGAUAAAACAAGAUUUGUUCACACCAGCAGAACAACGAAAUACGCAUAAAGAACAGUAGAAGCAAAACUGCAGUAAGAGACUUUUGUGGACUUUUAAUUGGUCAUAGGUUUAUAGAAGGUCAUUGUUACACUUUAUAGGGAGAGGCUUUCUGCCUUGGCAAACCAAACACAGGCAAAGCAGAAACUCUGCAGAAAGUCAUGGUGGAGGACCAGCAAACUUCCCUGGCAGUUAAAGCUAGGAGCAGAGUGACAAACUGUUGUAUUACAUUACUUCUAUUUUACUUUGUUAUUUUCUAGUGUUUAAAUCACUUCAAGCAAAAUUCUUUUAAAUUUGACCUUUCAACAAUCUCACUUCCUCUUCGUUUCCAGCUCUCAUCCCGGGAUCAACAACAGCCACCAUUUUCCUGCACUAGAUCCAAAGCUCACAGAAGUAAACUGACGUAGUAAUACAAUUGUAAGAGUGCAGUCAGAACAGACAAAUGAAGCCUACAAGGUCUCUAGUAACCACGGGUCUGUAAAAUAAUUCCUCCCAGAAGACAGCAGAACACCACAUUCAUCCAGUGCGAAGCCACAUACUUUCAGAGAUACGCGCAUUGGUCAGUAUGAAUUUGGAGACAGUAACUCAGUAGGAAGACGGUUAAAAGUACUUCACAUUUCUUAGUACUUUUCUAAAACCAUCUUUAAAAUGCAGAAGUAACUAGGAGAACAUUGUAAGAAUUUGCAGAAAUUCUAAUUUAAACUCCCGAAGGAAAGAGAUCUGUAGGUAAAAGUACAUCUCCAUCUUUUUCUGACCUACACCAUAGCUGUGCCCAGACAAUCCAAGCAUUUUACUCUUCCAUGAUAAGAAACUCUUCUUAAAUACAGCCAAGAUGUAAUUUGUUGAGGUAAAAAAUACUCUCUUUUAAUAGAGCUUAAUUAUAUGUAUAUUAACUAUAACCUAUUCAGAUUAGGAGGAAGAGAAGUAGCUCCAAAAGUAACACCUCCCAUUUUAUUAUGUUGGCCCAUGAUAUAAGUGAAGGUCUGUAGUUAAAUUUCUCAUUCAGAAAAAAAAUUGCACAUUCUUUGAUGCUGACUGAAUGUUUAUGGAGACCAAACAGUGGAUGUGAGUGCAGGGAGGCUGUGGGCAGUGAGUUUCAGCAGUGGUGACAGUGGGUCACCUCCACUGGUACAGAUUGUUACGUGUGUGGCAUGCAGGCUCUUGUUCAUUGCUGGCAAAAAAAACACAUAGCUAACGGUAGUGACUACUGAAAAAAUAGUGUUUUGUAGCUGAGAACGUGCUCUAUCAAAUAGUGUUAUUGUGCUCUUCCUAUCUGUUGGAGUGUCCGUGGAAAUAAAUAGGAGGCAUUACUUUCAGAGCAAUCUAAGUACUUCAAUUGCUGGUCUUUAACUGGUGAGAACUUCACCCCGUUUCCUCACAAAGGCUAUCAUUACUAAACUGGCUCAGAGGGCAGAAGAUUAAACACCUGGCCAUUACAGGAGGUGUUGAAAACGCUAAGCAUUGCUAAGUGUUACUUUCUGCCGGGUUCUUGCACUGUUUACCUGUCUGUGUGAAAAUAUUUGAGCUCUUCAGCUUUUGUAACGGAGUUACGAAAUGGUGCUUUGCUCUCGUGGCAGACGUUAAGCAGGAAGGGAUGCUUCUGCACCACGCAGCUGCAUGCAGUAACAAAGCCGAGAGGGUCCAAAGUGCUGCUGUCUCACAUUCCAGCGCCAGGCAGAGCGGCUGAGCCCGGCUGCCGUUCCCCAGGCCCAGGUACGCACCUGUAGCAGCUCUUCAUCAACGUGACGCUGCUUUGCCUGGGAAUGCAUUCUCAAGACGAGAAAGGGCUAAACCCUGCCAAAGUCCUUACGUGUGCUACGGGGUAAGGGUACUCCUAUAGAGAUGACUGAGUCGCUUCUUGAAAAUAAUAAAGCUUUUCGUCUUUCACCGUG